rnacentral:rRNA from 1 species
AUUGAACGCUGGCGGAAUGCUUUACACAUGCAAGUCGAACGGCAGCACGGACUUCGGUCUGGUGGCGAGUGGCGAACGGGUGAGUAAUGUAUCGGAACGUGCCCAGUCGUGGGGGAUAACGUAGUGAAAAUUACGCUAAUACCGCAUACGAUCUAUGGAUGAAAGCGGGGGAUCGCAAGACCUCGCGCGAUUGGAUGAACCCAGGUGGGAUUAGCUAGUCGGUGGGGUAAUGGCGCACCAAGGCGACGAUCCCUAGCUGGUCUGAGAGGAUGAUCAGCCACGCUGGAGCUGGGACACGGUCCAGGCUCCUACGGGGGGCAGCAGUGGGGAUUUUUGGACAAUGGACGCAAGUCUGAUCCAGCCAUUCCGCGUGCAGGAUGAAGGCCCUCGGGUUGUAAACUGCUUUUGUACAGAACGAAAAGGCUCUGGUUAAUACCUAGGGCUCAUGACGGUACUGUAAGAAUAAGCACCGGCUAACUACGUGCCAGCCGCCGCCGUAA